rfam:Bifidobacterium saguini DSM 23967 Contig18, whole genome shotgun sequence.
CAGGUUCCGGUUCACGCUUUGCCAUAGGGGCAUUGCGACCCGGGUCC